CCUACGGUUGGCAGCAGUGAGGAAUAUUGGUCAAUGGCCGAGAGGCUGAACCAGCCAAGUCGCGUGAGGGAAGACGGCCCUACGGGUUGUAAACCUCUUUUGUCGGGGAGCAAAGCGCACCACGUGUGGUUCAUUGAGAGUACCCGAAGAAAAGCAUCGGCUAACUCCGUGCCAGCAGCCGCGGUUAUACGGAGGAUGCGAGCGUUUUCCGGAUUUAUUUGGGUUUAAGGGUGCGCAGGCGGAGGUGCAAGUCAGCGGUCAAAUUGCGGGGCUCAACCCCGUACUGCCGUUGAAACUGCUUCCCUUGAGUGCGCGAGGAGUAUGCGGAAUGCGUGGUGUAGCGGUGAAAUGCAUAGAUAUCACGCAGAACUCCGAUUGCGAAGGCAGCAUACCGGCGCGCAACUGACGCUCAUGCACGAAAGCGUGGGUAUCGAACAGGAUUAGAUACCCGUGUAGUC
rnacentral:rRNA from 1 species